rnacentral:lncRNA from 1 species
GAAUCUCAUUCCCAGUCAGGAUCUGAAGAUGUAGGGCUUGGUACAGGUGCAGACCUGAAGCACAAAGCCAGCAAGGGUUGAGAUCCAGCAAGAAUGCCCAGCAUCAGUCAGAGCAGAACCAGCCCUUCAGUGUAGCUGAUCAAGGCUAAGAA